rnacentral:lncRNA from 1 species
AAAAAUUAAAAAUUAAAAAACAUAAUAAAUAACUGUAAAAUAAAAUUUAAAUAAAUAAGAAUGCAUUUUUAAAUAUUUAUGAUAUUUAAAUAUUUAUGAUAUUUUAUAAAUAUAUAUAGAUUACCAAUGUUUUAAAAAUCAAAUUGAACAUUAAAUCGAUGAAACUCCGUAUCAAAGUUCAAUCAAUUCAACCAAUUCAACUGGCAUUCGAACCGGAUAUAAA